rnacentral:rRNA from 1 species
AUGAACGCUAGCGACAGGCUAACACAUGCAAGUCGAGGGGUAACAGGGUAGCAAUACCGCUGACGACCGGCGCACGGGUGAGUAACGCGUAUGCAACCUGCCUAUAACUGGGGAAUAGCUCCCUGAAAGGGGGAAUUAACACCGCAUAACACUAUUGAUUCGCAUGGAUUAGUAGUUAAAUGUAGCGAUACGGGUUAUAGAUGGGCAUGCGUGACAUUAGCUAGUUGGUGAGGUAACGGCUCACCAAGGCUACGAUGUCUAGGGGUUCUGAGAGGAAGGUCCCCCACACUGGUACUGAGACACGGACCAGACUCCUACGGGAGGCAGCAGUGAGGAAUAUUGGUCAAUGGGCGCAAGCCUGAACCAGCCAUGUCGCGUGCAGGAAGACUCGCCCUAUGGGUUGUAAACUGCUUUUAUAGUAGAAGAAACACAUCUACGUGUAGAUGUCUGCCAGUAUACUAUGAAUAAGCAUCGGCUAACUCCGUGCCAGCCGCUGC